ensembl:lncRNA
AUGUAUAUAUAUAUUUCAGCCAUAUAUAUAUACACACAUAUAUUUUUUCUCAGAUUAUUUUCCAUUAUAGGUUACGUAAUGUGUUUUGAAUUUCAAUUUCUACUUGUUCAUUGAUGAGAUCACUUUUCUUAAUCUUCUGUUUAACCGAAAGAGCCCGUCAGUCUUCCCUGGACUUUAUGGACUUUCUUCACAUUAUGAAAUUUUCAGGCCGGUUGUUUAGUAGAAUGUCUCUUUGAUAUUUUUCCAUGAUUAGAUUCAGGUUGUGCGUUUUGGGCAGCUAGUUCUCAGAGUGAUAUUGUGCUCUUCUCAUCUCAUACUAUCAAGUGGUGCAUGGUUUCCAUUGGUCCCCUUACUGAAGACGUUCACUUUGAUCUGGGCGGUUGGAUGGCAUCACUGACUCAGUGGACAUGAGUUUGAACAAACUCCAGGAGUUGGUGAUGGGCACGGAAGCCUGACGUGCUGCAUCUGCGGGGUUGCAAAGAGUUGGAUAUGACCAAGAGACUGAACUGAAUUGAACUGUGUUGACCACUUGUCAGUAUUCUUGCCUGGAGAAUCCCAUGGACAGAGGAGCCUGGUGGGCUACCAUCCAUGGGGUCUCAAGAGUUGGAUACGACUGCGUGAUUGAGCACAGACACAGACAUAUUCUAAGGUGAUUGAAGGCGAUGGCAACCCACUCCAGUACUCUUGCCUGGAAAAUCCCAUGGGCAGAGGAGCCUGGUAGGCUGCAGUCCACGUGGUCACGAAGAGUCAGACACAACUGAGCGACUUCACUUUCGCUAAGGCGAUUGAAGAGUCCUGAAACAAAUCCCCUGGAUACAUAAGGAUGACAGUAAAGGUUGGGAAUUUCUG